AGUGUGGUUUAAGGUUGAAAGAGCCUGACUCAAACUUUGGCUCUGUUUCUCAUUAGUUGUGCAACCUACUGAAUGAAGGCAACUCCUUGGAGACUCUUCUUUUAUGAGUUUUUACAGGCAUGUGUGGAUCAGACUCUGGACUUCAGGCUUGUGCAGCAGACUACCGUGGACCAGCCUCAGUUGGCCCCCAUCAAUCCGCGGGAGAAAUCAGAAUUCCAGUUACAGAAACUUAUACAGCACAGGGAGAUCAGUGGGUAAAAGCUUGAUAAACAAGCAUGAAAAUCUGAGCUCAAGUCUCCAGCACGUGUGAGCCAGAGCAUCUCUAGGACCUCAGGACUGUGCUUGGCAGAGACAGGGAGAACUCUGGGACUUGUUGCCAAGCUCAUGUCAACGAUACAGUGAACCCUAGGUUCAGUGACAGACUCUGCCUGGAAUAAAAGAUCAAAAUAAAAAUAGAAGAGGCUAAAGAAGACACCCUGAUGUCAAAUUCUGAUACACACUCCCACAUAUACACACAUAUAUCUACAAAGUCUAUUUAUAACUAUGUCUGUAUCUGUAUCAGUGUCGGUAUUGAGAUACAGAUAUAUAAUGAUAUAUCUAACAAUAUAGAUACAUCUAGAUAAUGGUAUAGUUAUAGAUGUAGAAGAUAUAGACAAAUAUAAGUUGAUUAUAGAUAUUUAUAUUGAAAUAAGUAUAGACAUAGAUAUAGAUCCAUUAUGUAUACAUAGGUAUAGGUAUAGGUAUAGGUAUAGGUAUAGGUAUAGGUAUAGGUAUCAAAGCCAGGCUUGAGAAUUUAGUGAGUGCACUGUUGAUGACUGGUACAAAAUAUUCACAUGGACCCCAUAAAGAGGAGACAACUUAACUUUGUGAGGAUAACACAGUAAUUACCUUCUCCACUGACCUGUUAUUUGACCACUUGCGAUGUGGAUAAAGAGGUCAAGUGGAGAACUAAUUACCCCUAUAGCUUCAGCUCAGCUCAGCUCAGGCUCUACUUCUUGAUGGUCUUCACUCAAUUUUCCAUCUGUCCAUUCAUAUUUUGUUCUUUCAGACCUCUGCCUCUUGUACACUAGUGUGUUCCUUUGCAGCUAGACUCAAUCCUGCACCUGGCUCAACAUUGAGGCCCUGAAGCUUGGCUCUGCUUAACUCCAGAAGCUGUACGCAGGAGG
rnacentral:lncRNA from 1 species